rnacentral:misc_RNA from 1 species
AUGGAGAACAAGAAACAAGAGAGACACAUAAGGAAGGAGAGAAGCUUCACUCACAUGCCGCGGGUGUUGGAGAUGGAGGAGGGGAGUCACCACCACAACCACCACCACCACCACAACCCAAGGCUGUCCAGAAGUGUCUCAUUUUAUAGGGUGAGCGAGGCGCGGGGUGGACAGGCAGAUACCACAGGGAUGAAGAAGGAACGCAGUUUUGUCAAGCACCACCACCACCACAACCACCACCACAACCAGCAGCAGCAACAACAACAACAACAACAACAACAACAACAACAACAACAACAACAACAACAACAACAGUACCACAACAACAGCAACAACAACAAGAAUUAUUCUCGGGAACAGCUGCGGAGAAGGAGUGCAAUGCCUGCCACUAACAGAAGCAAACCCGCCAUGGAACUGUACCGCCCCCCGACCCUGCGAGGACCCGGCUUAUUUGACAACGGAGAGGCGAUGUACAACGGGAAGGUGACACAGAACGGUGGCUACGGUGACCCGCGCUCCAGCCUUAACGUCAACGCCAAGGAGUUUGUGUCCUCGGGCGCCUCAAACAGACCCCAGACGCUCCAGCACUCGAAGUCUUCAAGCAGCGUGCCCUUCCAGGGCCGCCAGGGGGGUCUGCAACACUCCAAAUCAGGGAGCAACUUACGACAGACCGCCCCGCAACACUCAGGGUACGGCGCCCCCCCUCACGACCCGCCUCCCGCCUCCACCUCUCCCCCCAGGGUCCACUUCAGCGACGACAAGGAAAACGACCCGGAUAUGAAGUGCGGCCCACAUUCACGCCCUCCUUCCCUGGCGGUGGGCGCGUUCACUCAGCUGGGGAUCAAGCGCUCUAAGUCUCUGGGCUCGGCUGAUCUGCGCGCCUCCCAGCUCCUUGAGUCCUGCACCGCCAUGCCUGACCUCGGACCCUUCUCGCCCGAGGUCAUGAACAGCAUCACUCGCGCCACUAACGACCCGAACAGUGUGAGUGCCCGCCAGCUGAUGGAGGUUGUGCGCCACGUGUUCACCCGCGUCGUGGAGGCCUCGAGACACGCCGAGCCCGCCGCCAGACUCUGCAUCUCCAUCAUUCAGAAGGAGAAGAACGAGACUUUUCUGGAGACUUUGCUGAACACGUGCCAAGAAUACUUCCAGGAGCGAGAUCGUCUGCUGAGGAACAACCCGCCCGCCCCCUACCCUGGCUUCGUGCCCGCCCACCCUCGCUGGAUCGCCUACAUGACCUUCCUCAACGAAAUGUACACACAGCUGAAGAGGCGACACGUGCAGCUGAUGACGAAGAGAAUGCGGAACAGCGAGACACCGCCAGGCCUGCUGCUGCUGACGCUGCUGGCCCAAUGUUGCCAGGUGUGCCUCAAGGAAAACGCCGUCAACAGCCUGGCAGAGACUGAGUGCCUGUUCUUCGUGCUGACGGGCGUGGGGAAGGACAUCGAGGUGGAGCUGCCGCACCAGAUGGGGCGCGUCAUGACCGCCGCGCGGGACGCCUUCCUUACCACAGUGCGCGUGCCUGCCGUGCGCAAGACUCUGCUGCAGCUCAUCGAGAUGCACGCCGCCCGCUGGCAGCUGCCCGCCCCGGCCGUCAUGUACUACUACCCGGGCUCCGGCAGCAAGUAGUGGCGCAGCCCCGCCACCCCGCCGCCGCCCCGACACACAGAGCCCGCCACAGCCUGGAGCCUCGGGGACCGGCCGUGACACGGGGCCUGCUGCUGCUGACCCCGCCGCCGUCGCCGCCGUCACUGCCACCGCCGCCACGCUGAGGGGUGCCUGAGGACGUGCUGCCCCUGGGCGUGCGUGGAAGUGGACGGGGCCGUGGCGGGGCGGGGGCGGGGCACAGCCAGGCCCACACAGCUCAUCGAUCGACCGAUUUUUAAACGAUUCUCGAUAUUCCGAGUGUCGGCAGCAGCGCUGACACGAGGCCGCUCAGCGAGGCCGCGCCCAGCCUCGCCCCGCCUGCUGCUGGGCGCGGCGCGGCGCCACGAGGACGACUGUGAGGCGCCAAGGAGAGGCCGCCGCCGCCGCCGCCGCCGUUGUCACAGUGGUGGCGGCGCUCGCGAGGGAGAGUUGGAUUUUGUAUUUUUGUUUCACCCGGCGGGGGCGCAGCUGGCGCCGCGCCGCCCCUGCCGCCCUACAAGGGUUUGUCUGGCGUCGGCGAGGCGCCGCACGGCCGCCUCUCGCCUUGUGCUGCAACACUUGGUCUGCACGCCCCGCCCCGCCCCGCCCAGGGACUCCCUAUUCACGUAUUAUUAACACAACAUAUUAUUUGUACCGCCGUCCAGGGCCGGGCGGGGCGCUGGCCACGUGCCCGAGGCGUGUGUGUGCGUGUGUGUGUGCGUGCGUGCGUGCGUGCGUGCGUGCGUGUGUGCGCGCGCGUGUGUGUACAUAGGGGCGCCGCCCCAGCCCAGCAGUGCUUUAAGAUAAUCUAGUCUUUCCUCUACUGACGCGCCUGUGUGUUCCUCACACAGUAAUGAGUUCACACACAAUACAAUACAUACAGUUAUUUAUUGCGACAGUCACAGUGUCCUGCGGUGUACAGUAGUGAGUCCAUGGCUGUUUAACGUGUUUGAUAUUCAGGGACAACAUAACCCACAGGGGACGCGUCCUUCCAGGGGCAGGGCGCCCCCGACUCCCCAGCCCGGCCCAGCCCGGCCCUUAGUCAGUGUUACAGGUGACAUCUCAUCUAUUUGUGCUAUGAAUAAAGUCAACGUUUGUA